rnacentral:lncRNA from 1 species
AUGAGUAUGAUGGUCCAGAGAGGGUGCUCAGUGAAUGCUUCUUGAAUGAAUACACAAUAAAUGACUGGAACUGGGCUGAAAUGCUACUUAGCCAGAUCACUAAUUCCUGCCUGAAUGGAAAAGAGGGAAAUGUACCUGGGAGCUGUUCUAACAAAGUUUUACGAGACACAGCAACCAGUUUCCAUUGGAAACAACAUCACGAAAUGAACCGAGGGGGGCUGAAAAGACUGCUAAUGCGUCUGAAGGAGACUCUUAAAGACGGAAAACACAGCGUUGAUGUUUGCAAAAGAAGUUGCAUUCAGGUCAGAAAUCCAAAAUGGGUUACAUCACCCUUGUCCCUGCCCUCACCCUGGCCUGCAUCUGGUGGAACUUGGAGGACCGCGUCAGUCAUGCAGAGAUCCACUCCUUGCUCUGGCCUAUGUCAGGCAGACUGGUAAGGAUGGGUUAGCCAUGCAUGCACAUCUACAACAUCCUCCACCACCAUGACCACCUCCACCCCCAGGUCUCCUGAUUGCAUCAGUUCUUGGAUCAACUGUGCAGAGACACACAGGCGGUCAUAAAGGUCAUUUUUCUGAGCUCCAGAAGAUACAGCAGAAGUGGACAACUACAACAAAG